GCCGUGUGGGACCAUUUUGAUGUCCUGGAGAAUAAGGUGAAAUGUCGAAUUUGCCAAGUCGAAUUGUCAUACACCAACAGAAGCACCUCCACCAUGCUGAGGCAUUAUCGGGCCAAGCAUGAGAAUGAAGUUCGCGAUACACCCAGUAUUACGCCAGGUUCCAGGAAGCAGCUGUACUGGAAGGACCAACACACUUCUUUCCCAAACCUCUCCCACCUCGCAAAGGAGUUCCUUUGUACGCCAGCCUCAUCCGUCCCUUGUGAGCGUGUGUUCUCCACAGCAGGAGAAAUCGCUUGUAAAAGACGCAACAGGCUGAAGUUUAAAACAUUGGAGCAUCUUAUUUUUCUCAAUAAAAAUUUGUGAAA